UUCAACAAGGGAAUACUGCACAACUUUACAGAUAAAAUCCACUGAAUUUUUUUUUUUUUUUAAUUUAACAUUAGCGUUAAGAUGAUGAAACAAAAUACAAGUCAAAUUCCAUGAUAAGAAAAAGUAAGGAUUAUGCAGCUAAGAUCAGUUGUGAAUGCUCAUGCAUGAAGAGCUACACAUAGACUGCACUUGCAUUUCAAAACUGGAGGAAGCAAUUCCGCAAACUAUGGUAGAUAUAUUCAGGCACUACAUUUAUCAUUCACAGGCUGGUUUGGUGUCAAAGCUGCUGAGGCAGAUGGCAAAGGCUUGGAAGGCAGAAAGGGGGUAGCGAUAAUCCAUUGUGAAGAUGUCUUUUCCAAUUUUUCCAAACUGCAAGAUCACCUUCUCUUGCUCUUCAGCUGGAACAUUGUGGGAUGGCUCAAUAGCAGCCACAAGUUGAAAAUUCUUAACGGAAGCAACAGUAACACGCCCUCUGAAAUUCAGGCACCAGCACUGUAGCUGUUCAUGCCAUCUGGGGGCCUUGUUUUUAAGAACUAGGGGCUCUCUAGAGCCAUGGACUAUUACUGGAGACUGUGACGGGCUUCCAGAACUGACAUUCAAGACUGGUUCCUUCCCUUUUGGACCUGCUGAGAGAGAUAAUCUAUCAUCAAAAGUCUCUGGGAAGGAUGUUGGCGUUGGGGCGGAGCCCCCCUCCUCAAUGGAAGAGAUGGGAAUUGAAUGCAUGACGCAAUGCAUUCUCCUUGGCCCUCUCGUGCGGAGAACAUUGAGCUCAUAGGUGAUGGUGCCUAUACUGUAAUUACAUGCAGGUAAUUUUGGAGACACCUGCCUAGAAUGGAAUCUUCGAUGUGUCUGGCUAGCUGGUUGUACUGGCACUUCACAUGUAGGUUGGCAAUCAAACAUGGUGAACUUGGUUCCUAGAAAAUUAGACCUCAGUUUACCAACAUAUGUGUUGCUGGCUCGAGAAAAAUCAUCUUCGACCAAAGAUAUAAUGAAGUCUGUGCAUGUUGCUCUUCUGACCUUUCUGGCAGCUAAUAGCAAUUUAUCAUAGCAAUUUAUCACGCUCAUUCUCAGAAGGCACCAGACCACAGUACAAUAGAUAAGUGGAAGUUGCAGUAUCUCUCUUAAUAAAGCACUGUAUGGGAGACUCACGAGGACCCGGCUGCUUCAACGAGAUGGGAAAUGUUAGCCUCCCACAUUGCUCAGGAGUUCUAACAACUUCCUUUGUGAUUUCCCUCCACAACCUACAAACCAAAGCACAAAAAACAACAACAGCACGAGCAGGCCAAGAGAUCUCACUCUCUUCUACCCUCCUAAUGAUAUCCAAGAGCAAUUCUGGUGGCAGAUUUGCCCACUGGCCCUGUUGAAUUGGUUCAGAUUCAGGUGGUGUUUCAUCGGGUGCAAUAUGCGACCUUGCCCUGCCAUGCCAAUGCUUCCCUUCAACCCCUCGUCUUGACAUGCUUCCAAUUCCACCCUUCAUUUCCCUCAGCUCACGCACAAUGCUUUUGAGGGACAUCAUAAUUCNNNNNNNNNNNNNCCCUGAACCAGAUGGACCAGAUAGCUGUCCAAACCCAAACAGCUGAAAUGCCAAAAACUUCCAAUCUCCCAGAUCAUCAAUGAGAAAAACCACUGAAAACGAGAUCAGAGAGAGGUGAACAAAGGAGAUCACGUCGGAGAGAGAUGGCCAUGGUUUUCACUUAGCUGUUAGCACCGCCAUUGACGAACCACCCGGCCAACG
rnacentral:misc_RNA from 1 species